CUGACAGAGUGCUCCCGAUUGUUUAUUUUCCUGUUUUAACAACUACUGCUAUAUUAGCAUACUACGAAGAAAAAUUGAACACAAGAAAACAAAUUAUAUCUGGCUUUUUACUUCUCUUUAUGAGUAACGCUGCAAUUAUCAUUGUACAUGGAACAAGUCUUCUGAAUGUUGCUAGUGAACAUACUUCUGUAGUUGCUAUUGUUGGGAAAGGGAACCUUCGAGGAGUUAGGAAGCACUGGCAGCAACCAAUUGAGUUCUACCUUCUGUUGGGGGUGACAAGUCCAUACUAGACGUUUUACCUAGAAGUUGGGGACUUGCCGGAGUUUAAUCAGGAUGUGGCAUCUCGCUUGGAUGAGAGGAAAAUUUGCACUAGCUGUUCAAGAUGGAGCUGAACUUACUUAUCGAGUUGAAAAGAAUGGUGGAUUGGUGAAUGCCAGCACUGAAAUUGCGCUUGAUACUACUGCAAGGGUAUCGCUGGAACUGGAGUUGACACUGAACACACAAGUCAGACGCAUGUGUAACUCUC